UACGUAGGGUGCGAGCGUUGUCCGGAAUUAUUGGGCGUAAAGAGCUCGUAGGCGGUGUGUCGCGUCUGCCGUGAAAACCUGCAGCUUAACUGUGGGCUUGCGGUCGAUACGGGCAUCACUGGAGUUCGGCAGGGGAGACUGGAAUUCCUGGUGUAGCGGUGAAAUGCGCAGAUAUCAGGAGGAACACCGGUGGCGAAGGCGAGUCCCUGGACAACUCCUGACACUGAGGCACGAAAGCUAGGGGAGCAAACAGG
rnacentral:rRNA from 1 species